rnacentral:misc_RNA from 1 species
AACGCACGAGACCUGCGGACCUGCGGAGGGAUCAUUAAUGAGAAGCUGCCCCUCGCGGGUAGAUCUCCCACCCUUUGUAAACUUACCUUUGUUGCUUUGGCAGGCCCGUCUCCGGACCGCCGGCUUCGGCUGGCCAGUGCCUGCCAGAGGAUUCUAAAACUCUGUCUGUCAGUGUUGUCUGAGUCUAUAUACAAUCGUUAAAACUUUUAACAAUGGAUCUCUAGAUCGGAAGAGCACACG